GAUGAACGCUGGCGGCGUGCCUAAUACAUGCAAGUAGAGCGAACAGACGAGGAGCUUGCUCCUAUGACGUUAGUUGCGAACGGGUGAGUAACACGUGGAUAACCUACCUUUAAGACUGGGAUAACUUCGGGAAACCGGAGCUAAUACCGGAUAACAAGUUGAAACGCAUGGUUUAUCUUUGAAAGACGCUCUUGCUGCAACUUAUAGAUGGAUUCGCGCCGCAUUAGCUAGUUGGUAAGGAAAGGGCUUACCAAGGCAACGUUGCGUAGCCGACCUGUGGGGGUGAUGGGCCACACGGGAAUUUGAACACGGCCCGGACUCCUACGGGAGGAAGCAGUGGGAAAUCUUGCGCAAUGGGCGAAACCCUGACGGUGAAACGCCGCGUGAGUGAAGAAGGUCUUCGGUUCGUAAACCGCUUUUAUAAGGGAAGAACAGAUGUGGAGGUAAAAAUGCACGUCGUGACGGUACCUAAUCAGAAAGCGACGGCUAACUACGUG
rnacentral:rRNA from 1 species